AACGAACGCUGGCGGCAUGCCUAAUACAUGCAAGUCGAACGAGAUCUUCGGAUCUAGUGGCGCACGGGUGCGUAACGCGUGGGAAUCUACCCUUGGGUUCGGAAUAACUUCGGGAAACUGAAGCUAAUACCGGAUGAUGACGUAAGUCCAAAGAUUUAUCGCACAGGGAUGAGCCCGCGUAGGAUUAGCUAGUUGGUGGGGUAAAGGCCUACCAAGGCGACGAUCCUUAGCUGGUCUGAGAGGAUGAUCAGCCACACUGGGACUGAGACACGGCCCCGACUCCUACUGGAGGCAGCAGUAGGGAAUAUUGGACAAUGGGCGGAAGGCUGAUCCAGCAAUGCCGCGUGAGUGAUGAAGGCCUGAGGGUUGUAAAGCUCUUUUACCCGAGAUGAUAAUGACAGUAUCGGGAGAAUAAGCCCCGGCUAACUCCGUGCCAGCCGCCGCCGUAACAC
rnacentral:rRNA from 1 species